rnacentral:rRNA from 1 species
CAGGCUUAACACAUGCAAGUCGAGGGGCAGCAUUUUAGUUUGCUUGCAAACUGAAGAUGGCGACCGGCGCACGGGUGAGUAACACGUAUCCAACCUGCCGAUAACUCCGGAAUAGCCUUUCGAAAGAAAGAUUAAUACCGGAUAGUAUACGAAUAUCGCAUGAUAUUUUUAUUAAAGAAUUUCGGUUAUCGAUGGGGAUGCGUUCCAUUAGUUUGUUGGCGGGGUAACGGCCCACCAAGACUACGAUGGAUAGGGGUUCUGAGAGGAAGGUCCCCCACAUUGGAACUGAGACACGGUCCAAACUCCUACGGGAGGCAGCAGUGAGGAAUAUUGGUCAAUGGGCGAGAGCCUGAACCAGCCAAGUAGCGUGAAGGAUGAAGGCUCUAUGGGUCGUAAACUUCUUUUAUAUGGGAAUAAAGUUUUCCACGUGUGGAAUUUUGUAUGUACCAUAUGAAUAAGGAUCGGCUAACUCCGUGCCAGCAGCCGCGGUAAUACGGAGGAUCCGAGCGUUAUCCGGAUUUAUUGGGUUUAAAGGGAGCGUAGGUGGAUUGUUAAGUCAGUUGUGAAAGUUUGCGGCUCAACCGUAAAAUUGCAGUUGAAACUGGCAGUCUUGAGUACAGUAGAGGUGGGCGGAAUUCGUGGUGUAGCGGUGAAAUGCUUAGAUAUCACGAAGAACUCCGAUUGCGAAGGCAGCUCACUAGACUGUCACUGACACUGAUGCUCGAAAGUGUGGGUAUCAAACAGGAUUAGAUACCCUGGUAGUCCACACAGUAAACGAUGAAUACUCGCUGUUUGCGAUAUACAGUAAGCGGCCAAGCGAAAGCAUUAAGUAUUCCACCUGGGGAGUACGCCGGCAACGGUGAAACUCAAAGGAAUUGACGGGGGCCCGCACAAGCGGAGGAACAUGUGGUUUAAUUCGAUGAUACGCGAGGAACCUUACCCGGGCUUAAAUUGCAACAGAAUAUAUUGGAAACAGUAUAGCCGUAAGGCUGUUGUGAAGGUGCUGCAUGGUUGUCGUCAGCUCGUGCCGUGAGGUGUCGGCUUAAGUGCCAUAACGAGCGCAACCCUUAUCUUUAGUUACUAACAGGUCAUGCUGAGGACUCUAGAGAGACUGCCGUCGUAAGAUGUGAGGAAGGUGGGGAUGACGUCAAAUCAGCACGGCCCUUACGUCCGGGGCUACACACGUGUUACAAUGGGGGGUACAGAAGGCGGCUACCUGGUGACAGGAUGCUAAUCCCAAAAACCUCUCUCAGUUCGGAUCGAAGUCUGCAACCCGACUUCGUGAAGCUGGAUUCGCUAGUAAUCGCGCAUCAGCCAUGGCGCGGUGAAUACGUUCCCGGGCCUUGUACACACCGCCCGUCAAGCCAUGAAAGCCGGGGGUACCUGAAGUACGUAACCGCAAGGAGCGUCCUAGGGUAAAACUGGUAAUUGGGGCUAAGUCAUAACA